rnacentral:lncRNA from 1 species
CCCUGAGAUCAUGACUUGAGCCAGAAUCAAAAGUUGGACACUUAACUGACUGAGCCACCCAGGUGCCCAGCCCCUACAAUUCUUUUGUGUAGUGUGGGCCACUUCCUAGGUUUUAGAUUCUUAACAUCUUGACCUGAAGUUGCUCAGUGGCACCUGUUGAGAUUCCUGCUUUGGGAAAGCUUCACCUCCUCUCUGCCACUAAUUCUAUAUGUUAGAGCAUUUUUUUUUUUUUUCUAAAUAGGCUAUGCCCUACAUGAGACUCAAACUCAGGAUCCUCAGAUCAAGAGUCACAUGCUAUACUGACUGAACCAGCUGGGUGCCCCUACUCCUGUUGGUUUAUUUUUCUAAGUUUUGUAGACCUGGGGACCUUGGGCUCUUACUAGCUGCAAAGAUAUAUUUAUUCAUGUUGCCAUAAGACUAACUCUCUUCUAGGAUGGUGGGCCAGAAUAUAUAUGAUUUCUACUUAUCCUCAUCAUUCUGCCUGGAAUAUAAUCUUCCUGAAACAGUCUUUUCUUCUGAGAUGAAGAGAUUUUGUCAAAGAUUCAUGUGCUCCCAGCUGCCCAAUCAGGUCCUGAAGAACAUCAGCAUCAUUGACAGCCCUGGAAUCCUGUCUGGGGAGAAGCAGCGCAUCAGCCGAGGAGGAACACUCACUGGGGGAACUUCCUUCUCGUUUGAAGGGGAAAGUGGUACAAGGCUCAUGGAGAUAUAUUUUGGACAAGGCAUCGGAUCUUUUCACAAUUGUCAUCAUACCGCAUGAACAGAUAUUUUUUCUAAUACAAUAUCCAGAACCCUCUGUAUUUAGGCAGAAUCAAGGUCUCUGGAUACCCUAUGCUGGUCAGGCUCGCUGUGAGGGCAGGGAAUGGAAAGUGAGUGACUUUUCACAUUCUAUCUUUUGUAUCUUUUGAAUUUUGUGUUGUGAACAUGUAUCAUUUUAUUUCAAAAAUUAAGCUGUUGGGGAUCCCUGGGUGGCGCAGCGGUUUGGCGCCUGCCUUUGGCCCAGGGCGCGAUCCUGGAGACCCGGGAUCGAAUCCCACAUUGGGCUCCCGGUGUAUGGAGCCUGCUUCUCCCUCUGCCUGUGUCUCUCUGCCUCUCUCUCUCUCUCUGUGACUAUCAUAAAUAAAUAAAAAUUAAAAACAAAAACA